CGUGCGGUGCUGCGUAUCGCGCAUCAAUACUUGUGAUUUAGUUUCCGAUGAUCGAUUGGUCUGAAGGAGUACGAAUAAGACGAGAUAUUCAAAACUAAUCUUGCGCAGAAGGGCGCUUGUCAAAGCACAACGUACGCGUAAAGUAAAAUAUAGCUGUGUAAUGGAGCAAAGUGAGACGAAGAGGUGAACAGUAUUAGUAAUAUAGUACUUAUGAUUUAGGAUUGAGAUUUUGAGAAAUGUUUCGUUUGGAUGCAUUUGAACUGCAAAAGUUUAUAUAAUGAUAAAAAUACUGUCUCCGCUCUCGCACAUUAUUCUUUUUGAAUAAAUAUCGAAAUGCGAAGAAACGCAAAAAUAUAAAUGAAAAAUCCUGUGCAUCGUACACGAUAGAUCUUAUCGGCGGUCAAAACACAGAAGAAAUAAUAAA